rnacentral:rRNA from 1 species
UACGUAGGGGGCGAGCGUUGUCCGGAAUUAUUGGGCGUAAAGAGCGUGUAGGCGGUUCGGUAAGUCUGUCGUGAAAUCCUGGGGCUCAACCUCGGGCGUGCGAUGGAUACUGCCGGGCUAGAGGGUGGUAGAGGCGAGUGGAAUUCCCGGUGUAGCGGUGAAAUGCGCAGAUAUCGGGAGGAACACCAGUAGCGAAGGCGGCUCGCUGGGCCACACCUGACGCUGAGACGCGAAAGCUAGGGGAGCGAACAGG